GCCGGAGUGGUGGAACUGGUAGACGCGCUGGACUCAAAAUCCAGUAUCCGAAAGGAUGUGCGGGUUCGAUUCCCGCCUCCGGCACCA
rnacentral:tRNA from 1 species